UUAUCUCUGUAGAGUCUGCAUAUCAAUAAGCGGAGGAAAAGAAACUAACUAGGAUUCCCUCAGUAACGGCGAGUGAAGCGGGAAGAGCUCAAAUUUGAAAUCUUCAAGGUUCUACCUUGACGAAUUGUAGUUUAAAGAAGUGUUUUCUGUUGGUGUUUUGGUAAAAGUUCUUUGGAAUAGGACAUCAUAGAGGGUGAGAAUCCCGUAUUUGACCAUUAUUUCCAGCUUUGUGAUACACUUUCAAAGAGUCGGAUUGUUUGGGAAUGCAGUCCAAAAUGGGUGGUAAAUUUCAUCUAAAGCUAAAUACUGGCGAGAGACCGAUAGCGAACAAGUACCGUGAGGGAAAGAUGAAAAGAACUUUGAAAAGAGAGUUAAACAGUACGUGAAAUUGUCAAAAGGGAAGCGUUUGACACCAGUGUUGUUUUCUCGAAAAUCAAUUAAAAAAUGCUGGAUUUUGUGUUGUAUUGACCUUAUAAGCUUUCUGCACUUUUUUCAUGUCUUUUUUAAUGCACUUUUCGUUUAACAAGUCAACAUCAAUUUCUUUUGUUGUAAAAAGGGUCAUUGGAAGGUGGCUUUCUUUUCGGAGAAAGUGUUUAUAGCCUUUGACUCCUGCAAUCGGAGAGACUGAGGUCUGCAGCGUAGAUCCUUCGGGGUUAGAUACAUUUGUGCUAAGUUAUAGCCUUUCAUAGACAACUUGUUGACUAUGAUCAGUCAUGUAGCUUACUCGCUUAUGUUAUUUUACCUACGCUUAGGAUGUUGAUCUCUCACAGUCGAGC
rnacentral:rRNA from 1 species